CCCUUAGAUGUUCUGGGCCGCACGCGCGCUACACUGACGAAUGCAACGAGCUUAUAACCUCGGCCGAAAGGUCUGGGUAAUCUCCAAAUUUCGUCGUGAUGGGGAUAGAUUAUUGCAAUUAUUAAUCUUCAACGAGGAAUGCCUAGUAAGCGCAAGUCAUCAGCUUGCGUUGAUUACGUCCCUGCCCUUUGUACACACCGCCCGUCGCUCCUACCGAUUGAAUGGUCCGGUGAAGCGUUCGGACCGUGGCCUUUGGACGGUUCGCCGUCUGUUGGCUGCGGGAAGUUCGUUAAACCUUAUCAUUUAGAGGAAGGAGAANUCGUANCA
rnacentral:rRNA from 1 species